CGCUUUCUGCCAGUGGUCUGGGGGAUCCCAGUUCUGGCAAUCCGUCAUCCAGCUCCUCCCAAUCUACAGGAUUGGGACCUCGAUAGAGGUCGGAUCAGGCACCGCCACCCUGUUCUGGUUCGACAAAUGGUCUGGCGACUUGCCCCUUGCGGCCCGCUUUCCCGACCUAUUCUCCAUUGUGGUGGCCCCUUAGAUAUCUGUCACGGCAGCCCUUAUUGA
rnacentral:rRNA from 1 species